AAGUCGUAACAAGGUUACCGUAGGUGAACCUGCGGUAGGAUCAUUAAACAAAGUGUAUCCACACUAUAACCCUUGUGAAUUCGUUUUCCAACCACGUGACGCUGGGUCGAUAAGCUGUUGUUAGCACACAGAUGAAGGGAGCUUGAGUUCAAUGUGGUGCGUGACUCUUGCUCUUCGGUUGCUCCGCUUAUCACUCUUUUAAUAGAGAAGAUCCUUUGUUACGUUUUUUUCAUCUGUUUUCAUAAACCCUUUUUGUACCUUUUUUAUGUACUAAUUUUUGGAUCUCGAUCGAAAGAUCUUGAUUUUCAAAUAAAAAUAUAUGAAAUUAAAGCACAACUCUUAGCAACGGAUAUCUAGGCUCUC
rnacentral:misc_RNA from 1 species